GGACUGUGGCUCAGUGGCAGAGUGCAUGCCUUGCAUGUGUGAGGCACUGGGUUCAAUCCUCAGCACCA
rnacentral:tRNA from 1 species